UACGUAGGGUGCGAGCGUAAUCGGAAUUACUGGGCGUAAAGAGUGCGUAGGCGGUUCUUGUGUCCGCUGUGAAAGCCCCGGGCUUAACCUGGGAAUGGCAGUGGAAACUAGAGAACUUGAAUCUGGCAGAGGGGGUGGAAUGCCACGUGUAGCAGUGAAAUGCGUAGAUAUGUGGCGGAACACCAUGGCGAAGGCAGCCCCCUGGGCUGAGAUUGACGCUCAGGCACGAAAGCGUGGGGAGCAAACAGG
rnacentral:rRNA from 1 species